rnacentral:rRNA from 1 species
GAUGAACGCUGGCGGUCUGCUUAACACAUGCAAGUCGAACGGGCCCUUUCGGGGGUUAGUGGCGGACGGGUGAGUAACGCGUGAGAAUCUAGCUACAGGAUGGGGACAACAACUGGAAACGGUUGCUAAUACCCGAUGUGCCGAGAGGUGAAAGAUUGUAUCGCCUGUAGAUGAGCUCGCGUCCGAUUAGCUAGUUGGUGGAGUAAUGGUUCACCAAGGCGACGAUCGGUAACUGGUCUGAGAGGAUGAUCAGUCACACUGGAACUGAGAGACGGUCCAGACUCCUACGGGAGGCAGCAGUGGGGAAUUUUCCGCAAUGGGCGCAAGCCUGACGGAGCAAGACCGCGUGGGGGAAGAAGGUUUGUGGAUUGUAAACCCCUUUUAUCAGGGAAGAAGCUCUGACGGUACCUGAUGAAUAAGCCUCGGCUAACUCCGUGCCAGCAGCCGCGGUAAUACGGAGGAGGCAAGCGUUAUCCGGAAUUAUUGGGCGUAAAGCGUCCGUAGGUGGGUUAUCAAGUCAGUUGUUAAAGAGUGGAGCUUAACUCCAUGAAGGCGACUGAAACUGAUAGUCUAGAGUGCGGUAGGGGCAAGAGGAAUUCCCAGUGUAGCGGUGAAAUGCGUAGAUAUUGGGAAGAACACCGGUGGCGAAAGCGUCUUGCUGGGCCUGCACUGACACUGAGGGACGAAAGCUAGGGGAGCGAAAGGGAUUAGAUACCCCUGUAGUCCUAGCCGUAAACGAUGGAUACUAGGUGUUGCGCGUAUCGACCCGAGCAGUGCCGAAGCUAACGCGUUAAGUAUCCCGCCUGGGGAGUA